AACGAACGCUGGCGGCAUGCCUAACACAUGCAAGUCGAACGAAGGCUUCGGCCUUAGUGGCGCACGGGUGCGUAACGCGUGGGAAUCUGCCCUUAGGUUCGGAAUAACAGCUGGAAACGGCUGCUAAUACCGGAUGAUAUCGCGAGAUCAAAGAUUUAUCGCCUGAGGAUGAGCCCGCGUUGGAUUAGGUAGUUGGUGGGGUGAAGGCCUACCAAGCCGACGAUCCAUAGCUGGUCUGAGAGGAUGAUCAGCCACACUGGGACUGAGACACGGCCCAGACUCCUACGGGAGGCAGCAGUGGGGAAUAUCGGACAAUGGGCGAAAGCCUGAUCCAGCAAUGCCGCGUGAGUGAUGAAGGGCCUAGGGUUGUAAAGCUCUUUUACCCGGGAAGAUAAUGACUGUACCGGGAGAAUAAGCCCCGGCUAACUCCGUGCCAGCAGCCGCCGUAAAAC
rnacentral:rRNA from 1 species